UCCGGAAGGUCGUUUCGGAGGAUUCUACAUCAAUUCUUCAGGAACUACAAAACAAAGUUUCCAAAAUAAUUGCAAGAAGACCUAUUCCUUCAGGAAAUGCAUGCUAGGUCUGACUGAAAACCUAGAGAUUU